rnacentral:rRNA from 1 species
ACCUACGGGGCGCAGCAGUGGGGAAUCUUGCGCAAUGGCCGAAAGGCUGACGCAGCGACGCCGCGUGUGGGAUGAAGCAUUUCGGUGUGUAAACCACUGUUGCCCGGGACGAACAGCUUCUUUCGAGGAGCCUGACGGUACCGGGUGAGGAAGCACCGGCUAACUCCGUGCCAGCAGCCGCGGUAAUACGGAGGGUGCGAGCGUUGUCCGGAAUCACUGGGCGUAAAGGGCGCGUAGGCGGCCCGGCAAGUCAACGGUGAAAGCUUGGGGCUCAACCCCGAGUCGGCCGUCGAUACUUCCGGGCUCGAGCACUGUAGAGGCAGGUGGAAUUCCGGGUGUAGCGGUGGAAUGCGUAGAGAUCCGGAAGAACACCGGUGGCGAAGGCGGCCUGCUGGGCAGUAGCUGACGCUGAGGCGCGACAGCGUGGGGAGCAAACAGGAUUAGAUACCCCGGUAGA